rnacentral:rRNA from 1 species
CGGACAAUAUACAAGGUGCUGCAUGGUUGUCGUCAGCUCGUGCCGUGAGGUGUCGGGUUAAGUCCCAUACGAGCGCAACCCCUAUCAUUAGUUGCCAUCAGGUCAAGCUGGGGACUCUAAUGAAACUGCCUACGCAAGUAGUGAGGAAGGUGGGGAUGACGUCAAAUCAGCACGGCCCUUACGUCCAGGGCUACACACGUGCUACAAUGGCCGGUACAAAGGGCAGCUACCUGGUGACAGGAUGCUAAUCUCAAAAGCCGGUCUCAGUUCGGAUCGGAGUCUGCAACCCGACUCCGUGAAGUUGGAUUCGCUAGUAAUCGCGCAUCAGCCAUGGCGCGGUGAAUACGUUCCCGGGCCUU